rnacentral:rRNA from 1 species
UACGGAGGAUCCAAGCGUUAUCCGGAAUCAUUGGGUUUAAAGGGUCCGUAGGCGGUUUAGUAAGUCAGUGGUGAAAGCCCAUCGCUCAACGGUGGAAUGGCCAUUGAUACUGCUGAACUUGAAUUAUUAGGAAGUAACUAGAAUAUGUAGUGUAGCGGUGAAAUGCUUAGAGAUUACAUGGAAUACCAAUUGCGAAGGCAGGUUACUACUAAUGGAUUGACGCUGAUGGACGAAAGCGUGGGUAGCGAACAGG